GUUCAUGUAGAAGCGGGGAAAUACGGCUCAUAACCGCUUGGUUGGGGGUUCGAGUCCCUCCGGGCCCACCA
rnacentral:tRNA from 1 species